rnacentral:rRNA from 1 species
AACGAACGCUGGCGGCGUGCUUAAGACAUGCAAGUCGAACGGUAAGGCCCCUUCGGGGUACACGAGUGGCGCACGGGUGAGUAACGCGUGGGUAAUCUACCGCCGGGUCCGGGACAACUUCGGGAAACUGGAGCUAAUACCGGAUGAGACCACGAGAUCCCCUGGAUUUCGCGGAAAAACGAUGGCCUCUGCUUGCAAGCUAUCGCCUGGCGAUGAGCCCGCGUCCCAUUAGCUAGUUGGUGAGGUAAUGGCUCACCAAGGCAGUGAUGGGUAGCUGGUCUGAGAGGAUGAUCAGCCACACUGGGACUGAGACACGGCCCAGACUCCUACGGGAGGCAG